rnacentral:tRNA from 1 species
GCCGGGGUGGCGAAAUGGCAGACGCACCGGCCUUAGAAGCCGGCGGGGUAACACCUGUAAGAGUUCAAGUCUCUUCCCCGGCA